UGGGGAAUAUUGGACAAUGGGCGGAAGCCUGAUCCAGCCAUGCCGCGUGAGUGAUGAAGGCCUUCGGGUUGUAAAGCUCUUUCACCCACGACGAUGAUGACGGUAGUGGGAGAAGAAGCCCCGGCUAACUUCGUGCCAGCAGCCGCGGUAAUACGAAGGGGGCGAGCGUUGUUCGGAAUGACUGGGCGUAAAGGGCGCGUAGGCGGUCCGUUGCGUCGGGCGUGAAAGCCCCGGGCUCAACCCGGGAACGGCGCUCGAUACGGGCGGGCUUUGAGUCCGGAAGAGGGUGGUGGAAUUCCCAGUGUAGAGGUGAAAUUCGUAGAUAUUGGGAAGAACACCGGUGGCGAAGGCGGCCACCUGGUCCGGCACUGACGCUGAGGCGCGAAAGCGUGGGGAGCAAACAGG
rnacentral:rRNA from 1 species